GAUCAUGGCUCAGGAUGAACGCUAGCGACAGGCCUAACACAUGCAAGUCGAGGGGCAGCAUGAACUUAGCUUGCUAAGUUUGAUGGCGACCGGCGCACGGGUGAGUAACACGUAUCCAACCUUCCCGUUACUCUGGAAUAGCCUUUCGAAAGAAAGAUUAAUACCGGAUAGUAUCGAGAGAUUGCAUGAUUACCCGAUUAAAGAUUCAUCGGUAACGGAUGGGGAUGCGUUCCAUUAGG
rnacentral:rRNA from 1 species